CCUACGGGAGGCAGCAGUGAGGAAUAUUGGUCAAUGGUCGGGAGACUGAACCAGCCAAGCCGCGUGAGGGAUGAAGGUACAGAGUAUCGUAAACCUCUUUUGUCAGGGAACAAAGGCGGGGACGUGUCCCCGGCUGAGUGUACCUGAAGAAAAAGCAUCGGCUAACUCCGUGCCAGCAGCCGCGGUAAUACGGAGGAUGCGAGCGUUAUCCGGAUUUAUUGGGUUUAAAGGGUGCGCGGGCGGUCUGUUAAGUCAGCGGUCAAAGCCCGGGGCCAAACCCCGGCCCGCCGUUGAAACUGGCAGUCUCGAGUUGGAGAGAGGUAUGCGGAAUGCGCGGUGUAGCGGUGAAAUGCAUAGAUAUCGCGCAGAACUCCGAUUGCGAAGGCAGCAUGCCGGCUCCACACUGACGCUGAGGCACGAAAGCGUGGGUAUCGAACAGGAUUAGAUACCCGAGUAGUC
rnacentral:rRNA from 1 species